CCUACGGGGCUGCAGUAGGGAAUAUUGGACAAUGGGCGAAAGCCUGAUCCAGCCAUGCCGCGUGAUAGAUGAAGGCCCUCUGGGUUGUAAAUAUCUUUUAUCUGGGAAGAAACAAUCUUAUUCUUAAGAUCUUGACGGUACCAGAGGAAUAAGCACCGGCUAACUCCGUGCCAGCAGCCGCGGUAAUACGGAGGGUGCCAGCGAUAUCCGGAUUCACUGGGUUUAGAGGGUGCGCUGGCAGGUUGAUGGGGAAAGCUCCGAGCUUAACUUGGAAACUGCCAUUGAUACUGCCAGUCUUGAAUGUCGUAGAGGUAAGCGGAAUGUUGCAUGUAGCGGUGAAAUGCUUAGAUAUGUUACAGAACACCAAUUGCGAAGGCAGCUUACUAUGCGAUGAUUGACGCUGAGGCACGAAAGCGUGGGGAGCAAACAGGAUUAGAUACCCCUGUAGUC
rnacentral:rRNA from 1 species